CUACGGGGUGCUCCAGUGGGGAAUAUUGCACAAUGGGCGCAAGCCUGAUGCAGCCAUGCCGCGUGUAUGAAGAAGGCCUUCGGGUUGUAAAGUACUUUCAGCGGGGAGGAAGGGAGUAAAGUUAAUACCUUUGCUCAUUGACGUUACCCGCAGAAGAAGCACCGGCUAACUCCGUGCCAGCAGCCGCGGUAAUACGGAGAGUGCAAGCGUUAAUCGGAAUUACUGGGCGUAAAGCGCACGCAGGCGGUUUGUUAAGUCAGAUGUGAAAUCCCCGGGCUCAACCUGGGAACUGCAUCUGAUACUGGCAAGCUUGAGUCUCGUAGAGGGGGGUAGAAUUCCAGGUGUAGCGGUGAAAUGCGUAGAGAUCUGGAGGAAUACCGGUGGCGAAGGCGGCCCCCUGGACGAAGACUGACGCUCAGGUGCGAAAGCGUGGGGAGCAAACAGGAUUAGAUACCCGGGUAGUC
rnacentral:rRNA from 1 species